rnacentral:lncRNA from 1 species
CUCUCCAUCCAAAUAACAAUUUAAAAAGUAAACCAUUAUAGGUCAAUGUACGGCCUUCAACACGGAUCCUUGGCUCACAUCGAACAACAAGCUAUAAAGGGUCCCAAAAUUACUAGUGUAAAACCAUUCAAACGGGAAAACCAACGGUCUAAUCUAUAUAAAAAACGGGAAACGAGAAACACGUAUAAAUUACAUAAACAAACGACAACUACUGUACAUCAG